rnacentral:misc_RNA from 1 species
GAACGCACCUUGCACCCUUUGGACUCUCCAAAGGGUAUGCUCGUUUGAGUGUCAUUGUACUCUCACACUCUCUGAUCCUUUGGAUUUGGGGAGCGGUGGACUUGGGUGUUGCUGCUUUACUGUGGCUCACCUCAAAUGGAGUAGUGCAACUCUCGGUUGGACAUAGUACGGCGUGAUAAGUGUCUUCGCCGGCGCCUCAUUAGAGGGUGGCCGAUCGGGAGCUCUGUGCUUCAAACCGUCUUCGGACAACAUCUGACAACUUGACCUCAAAUCGAGUAGGACUACCCGCUGAACUUAAG